ensembl:snRNA U6 U6 spliceosomal RNA
GUGCUCUCUUCAGCAGCACAUAUACUAAAAUUGGAACAGUACAGAGAAGGUUAUAGCAUGGACCCUGCACAAGGAUGACAUGCAGAUUCAUGACACAUUCCAUUUUUUU